GCCUGACUGCUAUCGGAUUGAUACUAAGCCAUGCGAGUCAUUGUAGCAAUACAAGGCAGACGGCUCAGUAACGCGUAGUCAAUCUACCCUAUGGACGGGAAUAACCUCGGGAAACUGAGAAUGAUGCCCGAUAGAACAUUAUGCCUGGAAUGGUUUAUGUUUCAAAUGAUUUAUCGCCAUAGGAUGGGACUGCGGCCUAUCAGUUUGUUGGUGAGGUAAUGGCCCACCAAGACUAUUACAGGUACGGGCUCUGAGAGGAGUAGCCCGGAGAUGGGUACUGAGACACGGACCCAGGCCCUAUGGGGCGCAGCAGGCGAGAAAACUUUGCAAUGUGCGAAAGCACGACAAGGUUAAUCCGAGUGGUUUCUGCUAAAGAAACCUUUUGUCAGUCCUAGAGACACUAACGAAUAAGGGGUGGGCAAGUUCUGGUGUCAGCCGCCGCGGUAAAACCAGCACCUCAAGUGGUCAGGAUGAUUAUUGGGCCUAAAGCAUCCGUAGCUCGUUUUGUAAGUUUUCGGUUAAAUCCAUGCGCUUAACGUAUGGGCUGCCGGGAAUACUGCAUAACUAGGAGGUGGGAGAGGUAGACGGUACUCGGGAGGAAGGGGUAAAAUCCUUUGAUCUCUUGAUGACCACCUGUGGCGAAGGCGGUCUACCAGAACACGUUCGACGGUGAGGGAUGAAAGCUGGGGGAGCAAACCGGAUUAGAUACCCGGGUAGUCCCAGCUGUAAACUAUGCAAACUCAGUGAUGCAUUGGCUUAUGGCCNAUGCAGUGCUGCAGGGAAGCCGUUAAGUUUGCCGCCUGGGAAGUACGUACGCANGUAUGAAACUUAAAGGAAUUGGCGGGGGAGCACCACAAGGGGUGAAGCCUGCGGUUCAAUUGGAUUCAACGCC
rnacentral:rRNA from 1 species